CCCUCUCCGUAAAACUUGUAUACUUUCCCAGAAAUGUAAAAUAUAAAUAUACAUAUAUAUUCUCAAAACUUCAUUUUUACUAUCUCAACAUUUUUUCUUUAUCAAUCAUGCCAUGCCAUGUCUAAUUCAACAGUUAAGUAUGGAUGCAUCAACAAUAAUCAUAUCAGGUGCAAGAAAGUAAUCAACCGGAGGCCCUCUAAUAGCCUUGUACGGUUGAACCUAGAGCUCAAAAUCUAUCACUCUCACUCUGCCGGAGUCACCUCUGUGACCUGUCCGGCCUUCUGCACACAAGUUACGCUCUAGUGCUUUCUCAUCAAUCAUCUGUGCACAUAAUCUAAGGUCACCCACCAGUCGAAAUCUCACUAACACUCUACGACUGGCCCGUCGCACCCACUCCGCGUGGACUAUGCGACCAGCAUCUACUUGGAUCCAAGGCGAGCGUGCGAUGCGGUGAAUACUAUAAGCACUAAACCAUGGUGCAGGAUUUGAGCUCAAUAUACAUCAACAUCAUCAUAACAGUAUUUAAAUACUCACCUGUGCGUCCGCCGCACCAAUUCAUACAUAUGCAUCAUAUAUCAAUUCAUAUCAUUUCAUGCAUGGCAAUUCGAUUCACAUUUUUCAUAUAAUUCUAUAUACUUUUCGCAUACUUCUAUGCAUGGCAUUUCAACUAAUAUAUCUCAUAUACUUUUAUACAUUUUCAUUUAAAGCAUAAUUUCAUGCAUUUUCAAUUUCUGGGAAAACGGCAAGUAUAUAUGUAUACGGAAAACAAAACUGCCCACUCACAGAAUACAUCGACGUGUCGAAGGUCCCUGAGCCUCCCUUAGCCAUGCCCAACGUCCGUAUAAUCCUCGCCUAUACGAGAAGUAACCAAUUUGACGUUAUUUAACGCAUAAUCCCACUCUUAGCUAAUAACUCCUCAUAUAUUGAUCAAAUUGGGUAUAUGAAUAUACCACUGUGACCUACACAACCUCAGGAUCAUCCCCAUAUUUUUAAAAUAAUUUUUGGAGGUUUCACGCGCCCCCACGCGCCUGACGUGGCACGGACCUACGCGCCCCCACGCGCGGCCACGUGCAACGCAUGCUGACGGCGUCAGUUAACGCCGUCAGGAAUAUUCCGUUAAAACCCCGGAAUAUUCCGUUAAACUUAACUGGAUACCGUUACUGCCGUUAGGAUAUUCCGUUAAAAUUAACGGAAUAUUCCAGUCUCUUCUCCGACGGUCCUUCGCCGGACUCCGGUCGCCGGAAACUGGGUAAUUUUUCAAAUCCACUAUUCUCCUUCGUUUUUCAACCAUUUUUCAUGUAAUUUAUACCAAAUUGAAGCCCUAAACACCUACUAUCACGUUGGACUAGUUUUAGGGCCUAAAAACUACGAGAUCAAACUUUUCAAAAAUUCAAGAAUUCGGCCAAACUUACAAAUCGUGAUCCUGACGUCCAAUUCAUGCCAACGAAGCACUCCGAGCUUCCUUGGGACUUCCUUAAGCUCACUGUGAGCUUGGUUUCACCUAAAACAAAGCCAAUUCGAAGUUCGUGAACAGUGCUCUUCACGGGAACUUUGAAACUAGGGUUUUUCCGAAGCAAAACUUACCUGAAAUGGAUACCAUCGUGAUCGUGGAGGUUUCAGGAGUUUGAUGGUGGUCUUAACUCCGUCGUUGGUAGAAGUUUAGGGUGGUUUUGUGGUUGGUUUGGUUCGAACGGAGAAGAAGAG
rnacentral:lncRNA from 1 species